rnacentral:tRNA from 1 species
ACGGGAGUAGUUCAGUUGGUAGAACGUCGGUCUCCAAAACCGAAAGUCGUGAGUUCGAGCCUUACCUCCCGUGCAA